UAAUAAUAAUAAUAAUAAUAAUAAUAAUAAUCUGUGCCGAUUCCAACAUGGAGGCUGUAUCCUUUGCCAAAGCCGAGCAAACGAGGAGAGGCGUCUAGUGGUGCUGCUGACAAAGGGGCCGAUGUAUUAUUUAACACUUGCCAUGGGUUGCAUAUUGUGGGGAAUCCAGCAGCAGGAAUUAAACCUGCUAUUUGCAGUGGCACUGGCAAAACAAAAAAACAAAAAAGACGGGCGGGGGAGGAAUCCAAACUCUGACCCGAUCCUGCACUGGAAAUGUGUAGAAGUCGGGACAGCAGGGGGCUUGGUGAUGGCAUAUGGUAGGUUCCAGAUUUGCAAGCCUAAUAGAAGGUAUAGGGGUUCCCCACACCCCCUCAAUAAGCCUUAACUAGCUAAACUUGAUGCAUGGUCAUUCCUGAAGAUAAAGAGGUUGUGUGUGUCUGUGUGCAAGUGUGUGUCUGCGUAAGUUCCCCCUCGAAGGUGUAAACAGGCACUUGGCGUUUGCAACUCCGAGUUUCUGUCACGGGUUGGCUGCACCUUGAGGCGCUCAGGUGAUUCCUCCUCACUUUUUUUUAAUUUUUUACUCCAGGUGGAGGAAGGGAGGGUCACGGCAGAAGAGAAGACGCGUCUCCUCUGAUCUGCCAACUCCCGAGAUUGCCUUUUGUUUUGAUUACGGGGUUGUAGACCGCUUCGGGUGCCAUCGCGAGACUUAGGGUGUGUGUAUGUGUGCGUGCUGUAUAUAAAUCGGAAAGAGAGCAAGGCAGAGAAAUAGCUCUCCUGGAGUUAUAUCAUCCAGGCGUGCAUUUAUUUACUUUUACCUGGAAAGGCGGCGCUUCUUUUUGUUCUGUUUUUUCCCCUGGAUCAAUCGCUACAAUGACCAUUGAGGUCCUCCUGUACAUAUGUUAGUGUGUAUCCCAAAGCCAUCAAUACUCUGGCCGUCAACUUUUCAUUCCAUUUACUUCUGUCUCUCAGCAGAUGGGCCACACCAUUUUGCUUUCUCAUGCACUUCUCCUGGUUUGCCAAGGAACUGAAUGCUUGAUGGUCACCACUUCAAGGUCUGGACAUUACUUCCUUAAAGUUUUCACUUGUGAAAUCCUGACGGAUUGAUUACUAUCACUCCAUCAUCAUGUCCGAAUAAUAAUAGUAAUAAUAAUAAUAAUAGAUAUCCAACAAAGUCAUACUUAGAGUAGACCCACUGAAAUCAACCGACUUAAGUUACAUUGAGUAUAGCUAACGUUGGAUAUCACCCAGUGAUAAUAUCCUGGCGCUCUAGGCAACUUUUAAAUUUAGCGUUUCUAUAUCCUUCAAGGCAUGUUGGUAGAAAAUACACUUUUUUUCACCCCAGCUGUAUGUUUGGGUUUUUUUUUUAAUUAAAAAAAAACAUUUAUUCGUCGGUGGUUCUUUGGUUUAAAUUUUGGGACUGUUUAAACUCUGAAAGGGAACUAGGGGUGGUAACAAAUACGCCGGCCUAUAAAGGAAAUAUUGGAUCGUAAAAGAACUCAGUAACAAUGCAUUCCACGGACAUACUUAAUUUCUUGGAAGCCGCCCAGAGUGGCUGGGGUAACCCAGUCAGAUGGGCGGCAUAUAAAUAAUAAUAAUAAUAAUAAUAAUAAUAAUAAUAAUAAUAAUAAUAAUAAUAUGUCAAACGCCGUUCAUACCUAAAAUUCUCCCUAGAAAGUUCUUUUAAGGACAUUUUUACUUGCGGAGAAGUUGGCACCGAAAACAGAGAGGCUCUCUUCUCACUAUCAAAAUAAUCAUAAUAAAACAUUAGGCUUGGCCUGUCAGAAAGAGAUCUGAUUUGGCCCUAGAGAAAGAAGGGUGCCGGAGAGCGGCGCUCCGAGGCCUUGGGACUCAGGCAAGCACGCUUUUCCUGGGGCUGAUCGCAUCGCACCGUCUGCAUCAAACACGGUGGAGCUCAAAGCUGUCCAUGAGAGAUUGAUAUAGAUUUUCGAGGAACCCUCCCAUUUUGUUUUAGUCUGAGAAUCUGUGCUCUUGUUCAACCUUUAUGGGAUUGUAAUUGCCGAAAUUGACCUUCAGAUGCCCCCUUUCCUCCUCCCUCUUUUUUUGUUUUUUUGUUUGUUAAUACUGAGCUUCGGUAACUUUAAUCCACUCCUUUGUCAAACAGAACUCACCUGGCGUUUACACUGGAGCUAUCUGAGUAGGGAAGAAGUUUAGGACAGGAAAUUCCACGCUAUGUCACACCAGCCCUGUCGUUUGCGCCAGGACGGGAAUAUAACUAGGAUUCCCCUUUCGUUCCCUUCAUUUUUUCUAAAAUGAUGAACUUCUCAUAUUCGUGGAUCUAUUUGCAUGUGAGUGAAGGCAUUCCCCCCGCUGUAUAUUUCUGCAGUGGCUCCUGGGGCAGGUUCCCAUGCCUUAAGCUCAGCUCCUCUAGAUUGGAGGCUGUGAUGUCCUCGUAUGGUGAAGGCGACUUGGUGCGGAAGCCAUGGAAGAUCCAGCGAGAUGUUCUCCAGCCAGAGGCCCGUUCGGUUCAGGUGGUGGUGGUUAUAGGGGUGGGGAAGAGGGUCUAGUGCAGGAGGCCUCUGCGGUGGCAUCCCAGCGUCAAAAAAAGUGGCGGAGCUUUUGGGUUAGCCAGAGGUGAAGGUGAAGAUCAUUAGAGGGUGUUUUUUUAGGCUUGGCUGGCUGUGGCUCUUUUGGCUGGCUUUGGGUGAUCGUGCCCAGAGGGCGGAGUUGCUGCGAUUUCCUACCUCUCAGCGGAGAACCUGCCCUCUCGACUCCACGGCAGAAGGACGGGACCUUCUGGGAAGGAAAACAGCUGGACGAAGGAUCUCAGCGAGGAAUCCUGGCAGCAGCAGCAGCAGGGUAGGUGAAGUUCAAGCCAGCCAGCCCCCAUUCCGCCUUCUCCCUAAGGGGGGUGAGGGGUUCAGGAGAAGAGAGAUGGGAAAGCUUCUGUCUAUAUCCAUUCUUCGGCCUUCACCCGGGAAAAAUAAAUAAAUCAAAUAUUAUGAAUUCUCUCUCCCUAUCUACCUCCAUUUCGAUCUGUAAAUUUGGACGGGCCAAGAAUUGGAUCGUCUUUUCUACACCGCACAAUCCCCCACAAUAGCAACCCCCCCUUCUCUAUUCGUUCUUCUUCAGUUUUAUUUAUUUGUUAUUUUAAGAGUCAUGACCUAGGUAAAAUGUAUCCUGCUUUCUUCCAUUGAAACACUGUAGACCUUUGACAACUGGCGAGGAGAAGGAAGACUUUGCCUGCUUUUCAAAGGGGGAGACUCGAGCGACAAAGAGCCAAGGUGACGAAAAGCCAAGACGAUUGCGCCGCUGAGAGAGCCUUUGUUUGCCUUUUGAAGCGGGUGGGAAGAAUUACCUGCGGCGGAAAGGAAGAAGGAGCCCAAGGAAUCCGACCUGCUUGGUCGCCGCCGCCGCCUUCUUCCUUCGGCCCUUUUCGAACUGGUAACGCGGAGGAAGGAGCGACGAUGCUGAUGAGCAGAAAGACUGAUGAUGACGCCCAAAGCGGAGGGACGUCAGGAAAAACGGAACGAGAGAAAUGUCUUUAGCAGGAGAAGGCAGGAAAAAAAUUUAUUCCGAAGAGCGGGAAAGGCACCCCACGACAAAAAGCAACAAACACAACGGACACAGAUUUCUCCUGUUAGGAGUAGCGUGGAAGAAUCUUGAGAGCGAAUAUAAAAGAAAACAAACAAAC